rnacentral:rRNA from 1 species
UACGUAGGGUGCAAGCGUUAAUCGGAAUUACUGGGCGUAAAGCGUGCGCAGGCGGUUUUGUAAGUCUGAUGUGAAAUCCCCGGGCUCAACCUGGGAAUUGCAUUGGAGACUGCAAGGCUAGAAUCUGGCAGAGGGGCGUAGAAUUCCACGUGUAGCAGUGAAAUGCGUAGAGAUGUGGAGGAACACCGAUGGCGAAGGCAGCCCCCUGGGUCAAGAUUGACGCUCAUGCACGAAAGCGUGGGGAGCAAACAGG